GACGAACGCUGGCGGCGUGCUUAACACAUGCAAGUCGAACGGUAAGGCCCUUCGGGGUACACGAGUGGCGAACGGGUGAGUAACACGUGGGUGAUCUGCCCUGCACUUCGGGAUAAGCCUGGGAAACUGGGUCUAAUACCGGAUAGGACCACUGCCUGCAUGGGUGGUGGUGGAAAGCUUUUGCGGUGUGGGAUGGGCCCGCGGCCUAUCAGCUUGUUGGUGGGGUGAUGGCCUACCAAGGCGACGACGGGUAGCCGGCCUGAGAGGGUGACCGGCCACACUGGGACUGAGAUACGGCCCAGACUCCUACGUGAGGCAGCAGUGGGGAAUAUUGGUCAAUGGGCGAAAGCCUGAACCAGCAAUGCCGCGUGAGUGAUGAAGGCCUUCGGGUUGUAAAGCUCUUUCAGCGAGGAAGAUAAUGACUGUACUCGCAGAAGAAGCCCCGGCUAACUCCGUGCCAGCCGCCGCCGUAA
rnacentral:rRNA from 1 species